UACGUAGGGGGCAAGCGUUGUCCGGAUUUAUUGGGCGUAAAGCGCUCGCAGGUGGUUCGUCGCGUCGUGCGUGAAAGCCCCCGGCUCAACUGGGGAGGGUCAUUCGAUACUGAUCGACUCGAAGGCAGGAGAGGGAAGCGGAAUUCCCGGUGUAGUGGUGAAAUGCGUAGAUAUCGGGAGGAACACCAGUGGCGAAGGCGGCUUCCUGGCCUGUUCUUGACGCUGAGGCGCGAAAGCUAGGGGAGCAAACGGG
rnacentral:rRNA from 1 species